rnacentral:misc_RNA from 1 species
GAUGAAGAACGCAGCGAAAUGCGAUAAGUAGUGUGAAUUGCAGAAUUCAGUGAAUCAUCGAAUCUUUGAACGCACAUUGCUCCCUUUGGUAUUCCUUAGGGCAUGCCUGUUCGAGCGUCAUUUAAACCUUCAAGCUAAGCUUGGUGUUGGGUGACUGUCCGCUUCACUGCGGACUCGCCUCAAAAUUAUUGGCGGCCGGUACAUUGGCUUCGAGCGCAGCAGAAACGCGAACUCGGGCCCGUCGUAUUGGCUCCCAGAAGCUAUCUUCACAAUUUUGACCUCGAAUCAGGUAGGGAUACCCGCUGAACUUAAGCAUAUCAAUAAGCGGAGGA